CCGCGUUGUGUGCUGGGAAGCGCGCGGUAUAUAUGCGGACAUGAUUACCCUCGCAACUGCUAACAGCUGAGGGUAAUCCGGACACACGUGACUUCCCAGCCAAUGACGGAACAGGGAGGAGACAUGACAAACAUAAACAAAACACACGUGUCCCAAUGUCACUACGGUCGACAGCGGAAAAGCAGGUGCUCGCGCAUUUGCGCUUAAAGCACACUGCUUCAAGGGGGAAUCGUGACAAUAUCAUAUCAUUUUGUAUUAACACUUUAUUUAUGGCCCUAAUACUCAAAUUUUCUUUAGGAGUAGGCAUAACUACUGGGGUAUGGAAGUACUUUGCUUUCUUUUGUUUUCAGUCACACACUCUCUGCUUGGUCCAUUUUUCUUCAGAGUCCUCCAAACUGUGUUUUUUUUCACAUUGAAACCUUUCUGUAAAAUUCUGUCAGGUCAUUGUCACCACGCAUAAUCCCUGACCAGAGUGGAAAAAUUGGAUCUUCAGUAGACAUGUACACUUGAAAACUCUUUGGUAAAUGGUGACCUAGCCAAUAUUGUGUUAGCCUCUGGAGGGAUGGAGUAUCCACUGUCUGCUUCUGGAAUUUUUAUCCAACGAAUGUGGUCAUGAAGUUCUUGAAGACACUGAUUUACACAUUCUGUCUUUGCUUUUGGGUAAAAGAUAUGGCACAUGCUCUUGAAAAUGUCUAAAGCCUUCUUCAGACUUGUGGUGUUUAUUAGCUGUGCCACACAGUGAGUGGAAAACUCUUUCAAGCCCUUGCCAAUUGCUCCUUGGACUGCUUUGAUUAUAUGUGCAGAACAAAGGUGAAGGACACUUAGUCACCUAAGACACAGGUAGAGGAGGCGUGUCUUGGCCAUGUCCUGGUAGAUUGAUGCUGUAGUACAGCACUCUGUUUGGCUGAUUUGGAAUUCAACUCACAACCCCACCAGUAGCAUCCAAAUGCAGGGUAGCAGGAUGUCCCUUUCUGAGAUUUUGUACCAGAAUGACAAGUCCUGUCCCAGUGUACAGAUAAACUCCAAAUGGAUCCACCUGAAGAUCUGUACAAUAGAUCCACUUGGGUCCUGGCCUUGUGCUCCUAUAUGGCUUCAUUUGAUGACCCCAGGUGAGAGAUUCUCUGCAGACUUCUGUGCCUCGCCGCACUUGCAAUUACUGUCUGUCAGGACCUGAGGUGAGAGAUGGUCCGCAGACAUUGGUGGCAGGCCACGCUCUCCAUCACUGUCUGUCAGGACCCCAGAUGAGAGACGGUCAGCAGACUUCUGUGGCAGCCCGCGCUCUCCAUCACUGUCUGUCAGGACCUCAGGUGAGAAAUGGUCCACAGACUUCUGUGCCACCCCCGCUCUCCAUCACUGUCUGUCAGGACCUCAGGUGAGAGAUGGCCCACAGACUUCUGUGUCAUGCCACGCUCUCCAUCACUGUCUGUCAGGGCCUCAGGUGAGAGACGGUUAAUGCAAAAAUGUGAUUAAUUUUCCACCAGUAGGGGUAAAAAAG
ensembl:lncRNA